AUCGAUGGCUACGAGGACGAACGCUGGCGGCGUGCUUAACACAUGCAAGUCGAACGAGAAUCUGUGGAAAGAGGAUUCGUCCAAUUGAAGCAGAGGACAGUGGCGGACGGGUGAGUAACGCGUGAGGAACCUGCCUUUCAGAGGGGGACAACAGUUGGAAACGACUGCUAAUACCGCAUAACAUAUAGAUGUCGCAUGGCAUUUAUAUCAAAGAUUUAUCGCUGAAAGAUGGCCUCGCGUCUGAUUAGCUAGUUGGUGAGGUAACGGCCCACCAAGGCGACGAUCAGUAGCCGGACUGAGAGGUUGAACGGCCACAUUGGGACUGAGAUACGGCCCAGACUCCUACGGGAGGCAGCAGUGGGGAAUAUUGGGCAAUGGGCGCAAGCCUGACCCAGCAACGCCGCGUGAAGGAAGAAGGCUUUCGGGUUGUAAACUUCUUUUGUCAGGGACGAGUAGAAGACGGUACCUGACGAAUAAGCCACGGCUAACUACGUG
rnacentral:rRNA from 1 species